CGGGGUGUGGCCUCGCGUCAAAGCCGGAGGUUCAUGGCGCUUUUGCGGAGCUCCCGUGUACGUCCUUGCAUCUUAAGGAACCGGUGGGAUUGUAACGCGGUUAGUCGCAGAUGUCUGCAUUUCUAAUACUUUGUGCUCCAAGCGGAUCCAUUACCAGGAAAUCACAUUUAACUAGACAUCCUUUAUCUUGUUUCCACCCUACCCUACCAUUAUGUGAAUUACACUUUCUUCUUGAGACGGGAUCCUUCUCCAGAAUCCUGGAACUGACUGUAGACCAGGCUGGCUUCGAACUCACAAGAGAUCCACCUGCUUCUGCCUUGCAAGUGCUGGCAUUAAAGGUGUGCGCUACCACAAGGCAGAGUUUGGUGAGUCGAUCUUUUAUUAACUUAUGUAAAGAAGUGGAGGGAGGCGCAGGAGACAGAGCGCAGCAGUUGAGAGCAUUUGCAGAGGACAGUUCAGUUCUCAGUGGGUGACUCAGAACCACCUGUAACUCCAGCUCCAGAGGAGCCGCUGGCCUCUACUUCCCCCACAUAAAAAUAAUAAAGGAGAAAUGGAAGGGCAUACAUGUAUCACCGACUCUCAACUAUCAUCCAACCCUUAGACCCUGAGAUGUGCAGCGCUAACCAGUACUUGUGAAACCAAACAGAAGACACACGAGCUUUGUCUGCUUUAUUCACUACAUUAAGCAAUAAGGCAAAACAGUAACCUGUUAUUCAUAAGUCAAGGAGUGCCUCUCACCCCCCAGAGGGACCAAGGAGGAUGCUCAUUACAACGAUGCAAGGGCAUUCAGGGCAGUAUGCCUAUAACAUGUAUUUGGAACAAAAGAAAAAUUUGAGUGUGAAUCAGCUCACAAACCCAAAGUAACUUAGCUUUAAGCAUCCAAAAUUGUAGUUUCAAGUGCUAAGGAUGCCUGACUCUGUGUCUUGGUGCACACUGACUAGAAAUAAGAACCCUGCACCUGAUCUAAUACAAGAAGGGUGACAGUCACAAUUCCUAAUCACCACCAAGUGUUGAACCUUUUCUAAGAACACAAACAAGGCCAGCUUGCACUAAACUUACCUUGAAACAGCCAACAGCUGGUAUUUGUAAGUUAACUUGACUUCUUAAAAAAAACAAAAACAAACCCACAAGUGUUUGUUCCCCAGGAGUAAAGAGCCCCGUCCUUCAAUGUUUUCCUAGGGAAUAAGUAUCGGUGUCACUGCAUAAAGGCAGGCAGACAAAAAAAAAAAAAAAAAAAAAA